UCAUAUGGGAAAGAAAUUGAAAUUACUAAACUUCUUCUAUUAUAAAUGUUGCUAUCCUAUUUUAUAGUUUUAAUAAAAUAUGUGUAAAAACAAAAAGUGAAUAACUUUGGCAUAUGAAACAUUCGUAACUAUUAAUCAAAAGGCUAAAAAGUUGAUGUUAUAUUUGUAAUUUGCAAUUGAAUUAUUAAGUUAUUUUAUAACUAUGGAAAAAAAAAGAAAUGUGCAAAAAUAAAUGAGAAAAUGAUAAAUAUAGAUCAAGCGAAGAAAGAAUAUGCUAAAGCAAAAAAAGAAUGAAUAAAGGACAGAAAAGGAAACCAUUUGCUUAACAAUAUUCAAUGUAUAAUGUUAUUUAAUUAUAAUGUUUUGAAGGAAUCUUCUGGAAUUUAUUCUUAAUGAGAUAAACAUAAACUACAGUCCAGGCCAAAAAAUAUAAAUUAGUGGAAAAAAGUAAAAGUUUACUACUUAGAAACUAUUAAAAAGCUACUUUUGAUAAUUAUAUUACCAUGUUGAAACUGUGAUACUAUAGCAAGUAUGUAUUAAUAAGGAUUAUAACUAGUGUUACUACAUGGUUGCAAACAUUAUUAUUGAGAUAUUGGAAUCUAUUUGUAAAACACAAUAAUGCUUCUAGCAGUACAUCAGAGCAAUCAAGAGUACAUAAGAAUUAAGAAUGUAGUUACCUGAAAUUUUGAAUAGAUGAGAAUUUGGAAGAAUUUUUGGAGAGAGCCGCAAUAAAAGUCUGUCGAAUCACUCAUUCAACUCUUAAUUUGGUAUUUCUUGACACUGAAAAACAAGCAAAAUCGAAUAAAUGAUUUCAAUUGUAAUAAGUAUCUUUGAAAUAUUUUGUAUGUCAUCAUAUGGUGUUAUCAAUUAUAUUAAUAAGCCAAUGUAUUGAAAUUAAAUAAUAUUUUAUAUGAAAUUAAAUAAUAUUUUAUACAAA